rnacentral:tRNA from 1 species
GGUACAGCUUAGUGGUAGAGCACGUGCUUAGCAUGCACGACGCCCUGUGUUCAAUCCGCAGCAGUUCCG